rnacentral:misc_RNA from 1 species
UGUGGGAGCGAGCUUGCUCGCGAUAGCGGUAUGUCAGCAAUAUGAAUGUUGACUGAAGCGCCGCUAUCGCGAGCAAGCUCGCUCCCACA